rnacentral:rRNA from 1 species
UAGGGAAUCUUCGGCAAUGGGCGAAAGCCUGAUGCAGCGACGCCGCGUGAGGGAUGGAGGCCUUCGGGUUGUAAACCUCUUUCGCUCAUGGUCAAGCCGCAACUGUGGGUUGUGGUGAGGGUAGUGGGUAAAGAAGCGCCGGCUAACUACGUGCCAGCAGCCGCGGUAAUACGUAGGGCGCGAGCGUUGUCCGGAAUUAUUGGGCGUAAAGGGCUUGUAGGCGGUUGGUCGCGUCUGCCGUGAAAUUCUCUGGCUUAACUGGGGGCGUGCGGUGGGUACGGGCUGACUUGAGUGCGGUAGGGGAGACUGGAACUCCUGGUGUAGCGGUGGAAUGCGCAGAUAUCAGGAAGAACACCGGUGGCGAAGGCGGGUCUCUGGGCCGUUACUGACGCUGAGGAGCGAAAGCGUGGGGAGCGAACAGGAUUAGAUACCCUGGUAGUCCACGCUGUAAACGUUGGGCACUAGGUGUGGGGGCCACCCGUGGUUUCUGCGCCGUAGCUAACGCUUUAAGUGCCCCGCCUGGGGAGUACGGCCGCAAGGCUA